UACGUAGGGUGCAAGCGUUGUCCGGAAUUAUUGGGCGUAAAGAGCUCGUAGGCGGUGUGUCGCGUCGGCCGUGAAAACCUGCAGCUUAACUGUGGGCGUGCGGUCGAUACGGGGCAUCACUGGAGUUCGGCAGGGGAGACUGGAAUUCCUGGUGUAGCGGUGAAAUGCGCAGAUAUCAGGAGGAACACCGGUGGGCGAAGGCGGGUCUCUGGGCCGAUACUGACGCUGGAGGAGCG
rnacentral:rRNA from 1 species